GACGAACGCUGGCGGCGUGCCUAAUACAUGCAAGUAGAACGCUGAAGAGAGGAGCUUGCUCUUCUUGGAUGAGUUGCGAACGGGUGAGUAACGCGUAGGUAACCCGCCUUGUAGCGGGGGAUAACUAUUGGAAACGAUAGCUAAUACCGCAUAACAAUGGAUGACACAUGUCAUUUAUUUGAAAGGGGCAAUUGCUCCACUACAAGAUGGACCUGCGUUGUAUUAGCUAGUAGGUGAGGUAACGGCUCACCUAGGCGACGAUACAUAGCCGACCUGAGAGGGUGAUCGGCCACACUGGGACUGAGACACGGCCCAGACUCCUACGGGAGGCAGCAGUAGGGAAUCUUCGGCAAUGGGGGCAACCCUGACCGAGCAACGCCGCGUGAGUGAAGAAGGUUUUCGGAUCGUAAAGCUCUGUUGUAAGUCAAGAACGAGUGUGAGAGUGGAAAGUUCACACUGUGACGGUAGCUUACCAGAAAGGGACGGCUAACUACGUG
rnacentral:rRNA from 1 species